AGUGCGAAUGCUGACAUAAGUAACGAUAAAGCGGGUGAAAAGCCCGCUCGCCGGAAGACCAAGGGUUCCUGUCCAACGUUAAUCGGGGCAGGGUGAGUCGACCCCUAAGGCGAGGCCGAAAGGCGUAGUCGAUGGGAAACGGGUUAAUAUUCCCGUACUUGGUGUUACUGCGAAGGGGGGACGGAGAAGGCUAUGUUGGCCGGGCGACGGUUGUCCCGGUUUAAGCGUGUAGGUGUGUGUUCCAGGUAAAUCCGGUUCACUUUAACACUGAGGCGUGACGACGAGGCACUACGGUGCUGAAGCAACAAAUGCCCUGCUUCCAGGAAAAGCCUCUAAGCAUCAGGUAACAUCAAAUCGUACCCCAAACCGACACAGGUGGUCAGGUAGAGAAUACCAAGGCGCUUGAGAGAACUCGGGUGAAGGAACUAGGCAAAAUGGUGCCGUAACUUCGGGAGAAGGCACGCUGACA
rnacentral:rRNA from 1 species